AAGUCGUAACAAGGUUUCCGUAGGUGAACCUGCGGAAGGAUCAUUACCGAGUAACAGGGCCUCUGGCUCUGACUCCCACCCGAUGCUGACUUUACGAUGGUUGCUUUGGCGGACCGGUGGCGUCUUUCUCGCCGCCGCCGGCCCUCAGGCUGGAGAGCGUCCGCCAGAGGAUUUUCAAAACUCUUGUUUAAAACGUGGAAUUCUGAGUUUGCUUGCAAAUGAAUCAAAACUUUCAACAACGGAUCUCUUGGUUCUG
rnacentral:misc_RNA from 1 species